GACGAACGCUGGCGGCGUGCUUAACACAUGCAAGUCGAACGGUGAAGCGCCUUCCUUUUUGGUGGGUGUGGAUGAGUGGCGAACGGGUGAGUAACACGUGAGUAACCUGCCCCCUUCUUCUGGAUAACCGCAUGAAAGUGUGGCUAAUACGGGAUAUUCUGGGUCUGUCGCAUGAUGGGUCUGGGAAAGAUAUUGUUUCGGUGGGGGAUGGGCUCGCGGCCUAUCAGCUUGUUGGUGGGGUGAUGGCCUACCAAGGCGGUGACGGGUAGCCGGCCUGAGAGGGUGGACGGUCACACUGGGACUGAGACACGGCCCAGACUCAUACGGGAGACAGCAGUGGGGAAUAUAGCACAAGGGGCGCAAGCCUGAUGCAGCGACGCCGCGUGAGGGAUGGAGGCCUUCGGGUUGUGAACCUCUUUCGCCAGUGAAGCAGGCCUGCCUCGUUUGUGGGUGGGUUGACGGUAGCUGGAGAAGAAGCGCCGGCUAACUACGUG
rnacentral:rRNA from 1 species